rnacentral:rRNA from 1 species
AGUGAACGCUGGCGGUAGGCCUAACACAUGCAAGUCGAACGGCAGCACAGUAAGAGCUUGCUCUUACGGGUGGUGAGUGGCGGACGGGUGAGGAAUACAUCGGAAUCUACUUUUUCGUGGGGGAUAACGUAGGGAAACUUACGCUAAUACCGCAUACGACCUACGGGUGAAAGCAGGGGAUCUUCGGACCUUGCGCGAUUGAAUGAGCCGAUGUCGGAUUAGCUAGUUGGCGGGGUAAAGGCCCACCAAGGCGACGAUCCGUAGCUGGUCUGAGAGGAUGAUCAGCCACACUGGAACUGAGACACGGUCCACACUCCUACGGGAGGCAGCAGUGGGGAAUAUUGGACAAUGGGCGCAAGCCUGAUCCAGCCAUACCGCGUGAGUGCAGAAGGCCUUCGGGUUGUAAAGCCCUUUUGUUGGGAAAGAAAAGCAGCAGGUUAAUACCCCGCUGUUCUGACGGUACCCAAGGAAUAAGCACCGGCUAACUUCGUG